CCCGUGGCAAUAAUCAAUUAAAAAAAACCGCCCCCCUUAUAAAUGCCAAACCCUACCUCAUUUCCCUUUCAGCCGCUCUUUAUCUCUUCUGCUCUCCCCUCUUCUCUUUCUCUCUCCUGCUCUCCCCUCUAUUCUUUCUCUUUCAAUUCGUCUUCUCUUUUCUCAUCUCCUUUUCUUCAAUCUCCUUCUUCGAUCUCCUCCUUCACCUUCUCUUGCUCUUCGCCUUCGUCUCAUUCUCCCUCUUCUCCUUCGAUCUCCCCGUCUCCUUCUCCUUCGAUCUCCUCGUCUCCUUCUCUUUCAUUUCCACCAUCACCAAGACCACCACCGCAACAAUAAACCACGAAGACAUGCACGAGGUAUAUUGAUUUAGAAGUAGAUGUUAAAUCGAAGAAUAAAGAUGCAGGAUUAUUGAUUUAGGUGUUCUAUGGGUUGUUUUUUAAUUUUAAUGUUGUAAUUUUUUUUUUGUUUUUUAUUGUAAUUUUUUUUUUAUUUUAAUGUUCAAAUUUUAGUUUUGUGUAAUUUGAUUAAUUUAGUUGUAGUUAUUAAUUUAGUUUUUUCACUCUUAAAAAUUGUACAAUUACUAGAUACUGAUGAAUAUAUAUGUGUUUUUAUGUA